CGUGUGUUUAGUGACUGAGAAUGUGUUUGCUGUUGCGCAAAAAGAGUAAUCGAGUUGCACCAGUGCCUGAACUGUGUUAGCAGUUUUACCAAAAGAGUGUGUGAUUCAUGAAAUUCAUUUAGGCCUCUGUCGAUUUUGUUUGGGGAAUGGAGUUUAGCAUUUUAGCAAUUCAGAAAUACUGUAAAUGGCACCUACUAGCUGGCUCAGUAGGCCGUUAUCACCAAUUAGAUUGGUAGAUGGCGGUUGGGAGGGACUAUGAUGAUGAUGUUGAUGAUUCCUGAUCCAUUCCAGACAUCCACUCCAGUUCACUUCACACCGGGACAGGGCCUGGGGCAUGGCAGGCCUAAUGUCAAGCAGAGACAGAACCAUUAUAACAGAGGAGCAAAAGAAAUUCCUCAAGUGUUGGCUCUCCAAGAUCCCCACAGCAGGAGAAGCCACUGGUUUGGCACCAGGCGUUAUAGAUAACUGGAUUGGCAACCACAGAAGGUCUCUUAAAGUGCCCUCUGGCCCAACACAUCUAAAGACCAAACUUUGCUCCAUCACAGCUGUGCAGUUACAUAGAACACAUCUUUAAUCAAUGGCAUUGUGGAAUUGGUUUUAUGUUUAUAUGGAACACCCAUUUUCUUUUUCUUUGCAGUACUUUGUAUCAACAUGUACAGAUAACUUUAAAUGUUAAUGAAAAUUUUCUGAACUGUUAUAUUUGCAUGAAUGCUUAAUAUUUACGUCUUUUUUUUUGGUCCUAAACAUUGUUAAAUGUAUCCAGUCUUGAGAAGCUGGGGGGUGGAAACAGCUGUUAUUUCAUUUGACUGUCAGAGAUCCAACUUAGAAGUCCAUGAAAUGAGCAGCAAAGGAGCCGCUACUUUUCUGGAUUCAACAGACACACUAAACUUUGCACAUUAAAGGUGCACGCAGCACUGAGGAGCCAGUGGAAAAAUCAAGAAUUUAGACCGUGUCAAUGACUGUAGAUGGAAAGUCUUCAAAGAAGGUCCAUCUUUAAUAUUUAAUAAAUCCAGUAUCCUGAUCCAAAAACCCCACUUUGUUUUUUUAGUGGACUUUUACAUUUGCUGCAUCUGCCAUGCUCAGCAGAAGAAUACAAUGAAGAAAUGGCGUUAGUGGUGUCAGUGCAGUGCGUGCCAGCUGUGGUCAUAAAUGGCAUGUGUUUUCAAAAAGAACAUGUGCGUUCGUUGCCAGCAUCACACAGCUUAAAGUGCAAGAUGAUGUACUGCCAGGAGUUUACUUUCAUAAAGUGUUCUUGGAAGUUGAUACUUUGUUCUACAUAGUUCAGCAUUCUGAAAAAUAAUGUUAAUACAACUUGGAUUGGAACACAAAAUGUUUGCUGCACAGCACGUACAAAUAUAUGCAGGCAAUAUGUAAUUUGUACUGUGAAUGGAUGCAAAUGUGUAUUUUUCUAAUAAAGUGAGGUGACAGUUUUGUAAGUGGACGACAGUUUGAAAUUCAUUUAGAUUGUCAAACUACAGAGUACAAAUACAUUUUCUACAGCAAGUGGAAGCAAGCCAUUUGGGUAAGAGGAAGCAUUCCAAAUAUAUUAAUGUAACAACUGCACAUUUCAUUCUCAGACAAUAUUAGAACAGCAACACUGCACCCAUACUGAUAAUAGUGAAAUAUUUCAAUCUGUAUAGUUGCUGAUAAAUUAUUUCACAUCAACAUAUGUACAGAUGAAGGAGCAUUUUCUCUAUAUUUUUAUUAAUUUCUGUAUAUGA